UACAGAGGGGGCAAGCGUUGUUCGGAAUUAUUGGGCGUAAAGGGCGCGUAGGCGGCCACCGCAAGUCGGUUGUGAAAUCUCUGGGCUUAACCCAGAAAGGUCAACCGAUACUGCGGGGCUAGAGUGCAGAAGGGGCAACUGGAAUUCUCGGUGUAGCGGUGAAAUGCGUAGAUAUCGAGAGGAACACCUGCGGCGAAGGCGGGUUGCUGGGCUGACACUGACGCUGAAGCGCGAAAGCUAGGGGAGCGAACGGG
rnacentral:rRNA from 1 species